CAAAAACAGUGGCAUACACCAUUCUUUGGACAUCUGGCAUGGCUCAAAGAAUUUGAGCAAAAUACUUGUUGUGGCAGGGCAGCAAAAGGGAUGCUCUGAACUUUUGACGUGGAGCAAAGAUGUCUGCAACCACUUCUGGUAUUGUUGUAAGAUGGCAACCUCCUAUGAAGACUUCAUGGACAUGUGGAUGGGACUCCUGCACCAUGUCACAAGAGAACGUGCUUGGGCCCUUGGUACCUGUCACCAUGGACCUUUGGAAGACAGCAGAGACAGACACUGGAUAAAACAGGGUUCUUUGGCACAUCAGAGGCUGAGAGAAAUAAUUCUUGAAACACGCUGGCUGAAGGACGUGC